rnacentral:rRNA from 1 species
AUUGAACGCUGGCGGCAUGCCUAACACAUGCAAGUCGAACGGCAGCAUGAGUAGAGUUUACUCUACUUGAUGGCGAGUGGCGGACGGGUGAGUAAUAUGUAGGAAUCUACCUAGAGGAGGGGGAUAACUUGGGGACACUCAAGCUAAUACCACAUAAGCCCUAAGGGGGAAAGCAGGGGACGGCAAGGCCUUCCGCCUUAUGAUGAGCCUACAUCGGAUUAGCUAGUUGUUAGGGGAAAGGCCUACCAAGGCGACGAUCAGUAGCUGGUCUGAGAGGACGAUCAGCCACACUGGGACUGAGACACGGCCCAGACUCCUACGGGAGGCAGCAGUGGGGAAUUUUGGACAAUGGGGGCAACCCUGAUCCAGCAAUGCCGCGUGAGUGAAGAAGGCCUUCGGGUUGUAAAGCUCUUUUGUCAGGGAAGAAACAGCAGCUCUAACACAGUCUGCGAAUGACGGUACCUGAAGAAUAAGCACCGGCUAACUACGUGCCAGCAGCCGCAGUAA